rnacentral:lncRNA from 1 species
GGCCAUAGAGAAUACUGUCUUCCACUCUUGCCAAACGGACUGAAACCAUCAGUACAUAAUCCAAGGUAGACAUUUAUUCUCUCAUACGCAAAGUCGGGAUACUUUGAUUGGAAAUGCUUCCACGCUUUUGCAUCUGAAGGAUGUCUGAUCUCACCAUCUGUUGAGUGCUCCGCAUGCCAUCUCAUUGGUUGCGUUGUCCGUUCAGACAGAUACAAC